GAACGCACCUUGCGCCUCUUGGCUAUUCCGAGGGGCAUGCCUGUUUGAGUAUCAUGAACACCUCAACUCUUCACGGUUUGUUCUGUGAUGGGCUUGGACUUCUGGAGGUUUUGCUGGCCUAUGGUCGGCUCCUCUCAAAUUGAUCAGCUUUACCAGUGUUUGGCGGCGUCAUGGGUGUGAUAACUAUCUACGCUUGUGGCCGUCUGCCAGGUAACCUUCAGCGAUGGAGGUUCGCUGGGGCUUACAAAUGUCUCUCCCAAGCGAAGACAGCUUUUUGAACGUUCGAUCUCAAAUCAGGUAGGACUACCCGCUGAACUUAAG
rnacentral:misc_RNA from 1 species